rnacentral:rRNA from 1 species
UACGUAGGGUGCAAGCGUUAAUCGGAAUUACUGGGCGUAAAGCGUGCGCAGGCGGUUGUGCAAGACAGAUGUGAAAUCCCCGGGCUUAACCUGGGAAUUGCAUUUGUGACUGCACGGCUAGAGUGUGUCAGAGGGGGGGUAGAAUUCCACGUGUAGCAGUGAAAUGCGUAGAGAUGUGGAGGAAUACCGAUGGCGAAGGCAGCCCCCUGGGCCAAUACUGACGCUCAUGCACGAAAGCGUGGGGAGCAAACAGG